rnacentral:rRNA from 1 species
UACGUAGGAUGCAAGCGUUGUCCGGAAUUAUUGGGCGUAAAGAGCUCGUAGGCGGUUUGUCGCGUCUGCUGUGAAAACUCGGGGCUUAACCCCGGGCCUGCAGUGGGUACGGGCAGACUAGAGUGCGGUAGGGGAGACUGGAAUUCCUGGUGUAGCGGUGAAAUGCGCAGAUAUCAGGAGGAACACCGGUGGCGAAGGCGGGUCUCUGGGCCGUAACUGACGCUGAGGGGCGAAAGCGUGGGGAGCGAACAGG